GUCUAUGGCCAUACCACCCUGAACGUGCCCGAUCUCGUCUAUUCUCGGAAGCUAAGCAGGGUCGGGCCUGGUUAGUACUUGGAUGGGAGACAAUUGGCUUUUUAAGAAU
rnacentral:rRNA from 1 species